rnacentral:rRNA from 1 species
UACGAAGGGGGCUAGCGUUGCUCGGAAUCACUGGGCGUAAAGGGUGCGUAGGCGGGUCCUUAAGUCAGGGGUGAAAUCCUGGAGCUCAACUCCAGAACUGCCUUUGAUACUGAGGAGCUUGAGUCCGGGAGAGGUGAGUGGAACUGCGAGUGUAGAGGUGAAAUUCGUAGAUAUUCGCAAGAACACCAGUGGCGAAGGCGGCUCACUGGCCCGGUACUGACGCUGAGGUGCGAAAGCGUGGGGAGCAAACAGGG